UCGGGAGCAUGCGCACUGAUGACCCGAAAGUAGGAAGAGAGAAUGAUGUCGGUUUUAGUCCUACGCUGAUCGUGGUGGCUCCUGGAAAUUCCUUUCACAACGGGAGUAUAGGGAGCAUUUCCAGGCUUUUCCUCGAGGAAUGUUUUAGUGGAAGUCGUGUGGGUACGGGGAGGAUUCAUCGAAAGAGAAUUCAAACUAAACUUCACUUCAAGAUCUGAAAAAUUCGCUUCAUUCAGCAUGACAUGAACAUUAUUGGCCUUUGAAUGUAGAAGGAGAAAUUGUGUCUAUGGAAGGCAAUUUCAAACAUCUGUGUGACUUGGAAUGGACUGAGAACAAUGUCCAUGCCUGCCCAAAUGGUGUCUCCUGACUUUGGAAAGAGCUUUAACCAGUUAUUCAGCCUGAAAAGAAAUCACACCAUUCCCAGCGGGGAGAAACCACACUUGUGUUCUGUGUGUGGUCCAGGCUUCAAAUGAUCAUCCAAACUGGAGAAAUACAAAGAAACCAUUGGAGAAAGUGUGGAAAUGUGAGAACUAUGGGAAAGGAUUCUAUUAUCCAUCCCAGCUGGAAAACCAUUACCAUAGUCACUCAGGGGAGAAGCCAUUCAUCUGUUCAGAGCAUGGCAAGGGAUUCACUGUGUCCCCCUGGCUGCUGUUACACCAUCGGGUUCUCGCCGAGGAGAGGCCUUUCAGCUGCACUCACUGUGGGAUGAGGUUUCUGUGUUCACCCAACCUCAUUGAAAACCAACGAGUGCACGCUGGGGAGAAAUCAUUCAGCUGCUCAGAGUGUGGGAGGGUAUUCACUCAGUCCGGCAGCCUGCAUUUACAUGAACUCUCUCAACUGGGGAGAAGCCAUUCCCCUGCUCCAUGUGUGGGAAGGGAUACACUCGGUCAUGCCAUCUGACACAUCAGCAAGUUCACAUGUUAGUGCAGGGUUUGGAUUCUGCUCUUACUGCUGCUGUUAAUCACACCCAGAACUGAUAGACUGAAAAUGUUUAGUUUGUUAAUAUCUCCUAUAACUGACUGGAGAUUAAUAUUCUGGAUGUGUCGCUGUUUUUCACUGUUGCAGUGACUCUUUUUAAAACACCAUCUGUGGCCUUUUCCCAAUAAUACCACUGUUCUGAACUUCAGUUGAUCUUUGGUGUUAGAUCUACAAUUCAAUCUCUGAGAUGUUCCAUUGAUAAACAUCUCCAAUGGGAAAGUGCUGAUUAAUUCUUGCUGAUAGUUCUUAUUGACUUGCAUAUUCUUCUCAGUGAUACCUUCAUUGUGGACUGAAAUUAUCAAGGAACAUGAAACAGAAAAAUAAAUAUUUCCAUGGACAUCAAUAAACGCUUCAUCAAUUAACAUUGACAUUGAUGAAGUUCCUGUGUUCAAUAAUUUGUUACAGAUUUAUCAACAUUUGGUAACGGUGGCACUCACGACAGACUAAUUUUAUACCUGCUCAGCAGAGAUAGCAUCUGUCAUGGAAGCAAGUCCUAAAGUCUGCCUGAUAUACACCCAAAACCCAACAGCUAGAAUGCUACAUCACUUGGAAUGAGCUGAGACAGUCAUGUAUACUGCAGGGAGAUAUGGUGAAAAUAAACACUGGGUCAAUACAAAGAAAUCCAUACUGCCUUUGAUGAUUGAAAUUACAUGCUGUGUGUGAUGCAAUCGAGAAAGAAUUUGGUACAACCAUCUGAAAUUGACAGAUGGUGAAGUAUGCAGGGACAAAAAUAAACAAAUGCCCCACAGGGUUGAAUAUCCCUGUGAACUGUAUUCUUGUGAGACAGACAUCCCCCAAUUUCCUGCAGUUUCCUAUCAUGAUUGAGUUGAAUGCAGAUCCCUUUUCAACUGACCAUAAAAGGAUGUCAAAUGGAUUGUCAAAAACUUCUGAAAGCAUGCAAAAAUGGAAAGAUCAUCAAAAACAAUUGUGGGUCGAUUCCAGGCAGAGGAUCUAUAAUCGGGAAUAGAGAAAAGUUGAGUAAUUUCCAGGACCAUUAUCAUUGAGCAUUAACAGUGAUGGUUAUGGAGACAAUAGAUAUAUUGAUAAUAAUCUGUUAAAAUGAGUAGUUCAGCGAUGGUGCCUGCAGUUUGAAAGGUUGUAAAUGUUCCUGCACUUUUAAAGGAGAGAGAGGGAAAACGGGGAGCUACAGAUUUGUUAGAUUCAUAUCAAUUGGUGAAAAAUACUACAGUCUAUUAUAAAGGAUGUGUUUACUGGAUAUUUAUAUAAAGAUAAUUGUCAGAAUAGACAGGACCGAUUUAUUAAGGGGAAGUCUGAUUGAGAAACCGGAUGUGUGUCCUUUAAGGAUGUUACUAGCAGAAUCAAGGAGUGGGAACCAGUGGAUGUGACGUAUUUAGAUUUUCAGAGGCCUUUGGUAAUAUUCCACACAGGAGGCUACUAAAAUUAAACAGCGACGGAUUGAGAGGAAUACACUAGGAUGUUGAAGACUGGUUAAGAAGCAGAAUUCAGACAGUAGGAAUACAGAGGAAGGGAGGCAAUGGCCUAGUGGUAUUGUCACUGGACUGUUAACACAGAGACCCAAAUAAUGGUCUGGGGACCUGGGUUCAAAUCCCGCCAUGACAGAUGGUGGAAUUUGAAUUCAAUAAAUAUUUGGAAUUAAGAGUCUAAUGAUGACUAUUAAUCCAUUGCCAAUUGUGAGGGAAAAACCCAUCUGGUUCGCUAAUGUCCUUUAGGAAGGAAACUGCCAUCCUUACCUGGUCUGGCCUACAUGUGAUUCCAGGCCUACAGCAAUGUGGUUGACUCUUAACUGCCCUCUGGACAAUUAUGGAUGGGUAAUAAAUGCAGCCUAGCCAGCGACACCCUCGUCACGUGAAUGAAUAAAGGAACUAAAGGAAAAACAUGGGUCAUUCUCUGUUACCAGUAGGUUACUACAAGGAUCAGUGCAUGGUAUCCAGCUAUUCACAAUCAAUAUCAAUAACGUAGAAGCUGGUGGUGAUGAUGUUGGAGGGUGGAGGGGAAGAUUUAUAAUAUAUCCACAUUGCAGAUGACACAAUCUUAGUGGGAAUGUGCAAGGAAUCUGCAAAGAGGCUUCAAGGGGUUUAGACUGGAUUAGAGUGUGGGCAAGAAAAUGGCAGAUGGUGUAUAACAUGGGGAAGAGGUUAUUGACUGUGGUUGGAAAAAAUGCAAGGUGUUUCUUAAAUGUUGAAAGAAUGGAAAGAUGUCCAAAAAUGUUCAUAACUCACUGGAAGCAAGUAUGCCAGGUCCAGCAACCAAUUAGGACAUUCUCCUUUAUUGCAAAAGGAUUCAAGAACUGAAGCAGUCUUGAUUUAAUUGAACAGAAGACUGGUGAGACCACACCAGGAGUUCUGGUCCCCUUACCUUGGAAAGGAUAUAGUUGUCACAGGGGGAGUACAGAGGCUGCUCUGGGAUGGUAGACUAUCAUAUUAGGACGGAUUGAGCAGUUUGGGUCUCUGUUCUCUGGAAUUGAGAAGAAUGUCAGAAGAGCUUAUAGAAAUUUCUGAAAGGCAUAAAGAGAAUAGGUGCAGAAAGGAUGGUUCCCCUGUCUGUGGGGUGCACAACUAAGGACAGAGUCUCGGAAUAAAAGGCAAGCCAUUUCAGAUUGAGAUGAGGAGGACAGUCAAGGUGGUGAACCUCUGAAAUUCUCUUCUCCCAGAGGGCUGUGGAAGUUCAGUCGUUAAGUAAGUUUUAUAAAUGAUAUAAAGGGGAUGGGAUGGGAAUAUGGUACUGUGGAAAAUGAUCAGCCAUGAUCUAGAAUGGAGGAGCAGGCUCAAGGGGCUGUGAGUCUGUUUCAAUGUAACUCAGAAACAGCUUCCUUUGCCCCUGCUCUAACAACCCGACCUGAGACAAUAUCCACCCUCUAUCCUCACUUCCAUCACCACACUCACUAGGACAGUGUAUGUGAGAAAGAGGCUUCAACUAACUGUAUCACCACCAAUGACAAUAGGAAACCUGCCCAAAGGAGUUCAGAGACAAACUGGGGACCACUGGGGGUAAGUUAGACCCAUUGGGAGAGUGAAGAGAGUGAAAGAAAAGGAAGCAGCAGGGAGAACAGAUCAGAGUGUUUCCAUUCUCCUGACAAAGAAGCUCCAUGAGUUCCUCGCUGUUGUGUUUGGAGGCGAGGAUGGAGGACAUUGAGACAUCUUGAAAAGGAGCGAUCCCAUGUUAGAGACAUUUAAAAGACUCAAUGCAUUGUGUGUGAACAUCAACACCUUUUCCCCAAGAGUGUACUCGCUGGUGUGUACCAGCAGAUUGGAUAACAGAGUGAAUCAUUUCCCACCAAUGGAGCAGUUGAACAGCCUCUCCCCACUGUGAAUGCAAAUGAUUCGGCAGAUGGGAUGACAGAGUAAAUCCCUGCCCGCAUUCAGUGCAGGUGAAUGAUCUCUCUCUAAUGUGAACUCGCUGGUAUCUCUGCAGUUGGGCUGACUCAAUGAAUCCCUUCCCACACUCAGUGCAAGUGAAUGGGCUCUCUCCAGUGUGAAGUCACUGGUGUUUGAGCAGGGUGGAUGACCGAAUGAAUCCCUGCCCACUCUCAGUGCAGAUGAAUAGUCUUUCCCUAGUAUCACUGCGCCACUGAUUUGCGAGCUCAGAUGGGUAAUGGAAUCCCUUCCCAUGGUUCUCAUAUUACUGAAGCCUCGCCCACACACACAACACACAUACAAUUUCUCUCCACAGUGAAUGACGCUUUUUCCAUCCACGUUCCAAGGCCGAUAAUAUUCAGCUCCUCAGAAUCGAGCGGCGCUGAAAACUCUUGAUCCGACAUUUGAUUUGAGCUUCCUGUCUGUAGAUCCUCCCUUUUUCCAAUUGCCUAUGAAAUAAACUUAAAACUGGAAAAAGUGGAAAGCUGCUGGAUUGUGAUAAUAGCUCACUUGGAUCACUAAUGUCCUUGAAAGAACAGAAAUUGAACAAUACAGGACAAACCAGCCUGUAAGAACAGGCUGCAGCCAGUUGUUAUUUCUGCAGAGCCAGCAGGGUGGGAGGUUCAAGUGAUACCACAAUAAUGUUGACUGUGCAACAAUACAAACUGUACAACUGGCUGACUAGAACCUGUGCCAGUCUUUAAUUGGAUAAAUGUAAAUGACCUAGUCUUGUUCAAAAUAUACUACUGUAAAUAAGUGGGGAUUCGUGCACCACCUUCAGAUAUGUACAAUUUCCCUUGUGUACUGAUAAGACUGCAUCUGGAGUAAUGUUCAGUACUGAUCAUGGUACUUCUACAAGAUUGGUAAUACAUUGGAAGCAGUUCAGAGAAGGUUAAAUAGACUAAUACCUAGAAUGAUUAGAUUGCCUUAUGAGGAAAGGCUAGGCCUGUAUCUUCUGCAGUUUAGAAGAGAAAGAGGAGACUAAAUUGAAACAUAAAAGAUCCUGAGAGGACCCAAUCAGGUAGAUGUUGAAAAUAUGUUUCCUCUUGUGGGAGAAUCUAGAACUGGGGGUCAUUGUUGAAAAAGGGUGAACUAUUUAAAAUGAAGAGGAAAUAUUUAUUUUCUCUCAAAGAGUUCAGUAUCUUUGGAAUUUUCUUCCUCAAGAGGCAGUGGAUGCAGAAUCUUUAAAUAUUUUCAAGGCAGAGGCGGAUAGAUUCUUGAUAACUAAGAUUAUCAGGGAUAUGUAGGCACAUAGAGUUGAGGUUCAAAUCAAAUCAGCCAUGAUGUUAUUGAGUGGCAGAGAAAGCUCAAAGGGCCAAGCGGCCUACUGCUGUUCCUCAUUCGUAUGUUCAAAUAAACCAGUGAACAAAGAAA